CUUUCACAAUACAAAUCAUUGCAAAGCAGAUUUACAGAAAAUUAAAGUUUUUACAUUAUAUUCGUGAUAGCUUAUCAGUGGUGAGUAUGACUAUUUGAUGUCCAUAUGGCAGAAAUGUAGAGUAAAAAUCUAACUAAAAACGGUGAAAACUAUUAAGAACGAUAAUAUGUUGCAAUCAAACUUAUAGCAAAAUUUGGUAGUUUUGUAUGUUGUUUCAGGAUUGCCAUCAUCUGAAGGCCUCUGAGGGUGAUGGAUGACAAGCCGUGAGACCAGGGAACUGUUUAACAAGUGUAUCUUUACUUGAGAUGCAGGAGUUAGUCCACAUACAUGAAACUUCUCUACGAUAACACACUUGAGCACGCAUAGAGCCUCGCGUGUGAAGACUUCAGUGCCAGACCUCACAAAGAUUUCAGAUGAUGGCAACUGUAGAUGAACAUGCAAAGCUGCUAAAUAAUCCUUAUAUUGUAAUCAUUGCCCAAAAAGGUAACAAACCAAAGGAUGAGGACAGUAGCUUUUCUGUGCCAGCCGUGGUACAUACAGGAACAUCCUUCGUGAAGAUGCGUCAGAGAAGCAUCCCAGUGUCAAUGAAGAUGGUGUGGUCAGUGGAAUUCUGCUGUUCAUGGGAAAUCUGAAGGAACAUCUCCCAGUAUUCUACUACCAUGUUGCCCUGAUGAUUGAGGUAAUUCACCUCUUAGGUGAUGCAGAUGUGGUCAAAAGUUUACACACCUUGCAGAAUAUAUUCUGCUUCAUCAGGGCAGCAAUUUUUUAA
ensembl:lncRNA